CAUAAAAUGUUAAAUCAUUUUAAAGUCAUGCUGCAUGCAUGUGAGUAGAAAUUUGGCAAAAAUCAGCCAAGAUGUAUUUUACGUAGAAAUGGAAUGAGAGUCAUGCUGUCCAAUCAUAUUAAAUAAUUAUUAUAAUGAUAAGGGUUCAGAAUUGAAACAAGAAUUGAAGAAAGGCGAUCCAACAGACUGAAACCCAGAAUAAUGUCAGCAUUUCACCAAAUCAUUGUGGAAUAUUAUAAAUUAAAAGUGUUUUUGGUUUUGGAGGGAAAAGAACAUUUCAAUUGCUACAUCAAAAAGAAAUUCUAGAUGCAUUAAAUAGCUACAUGUGGAAAAUAAAACUGUAAAGACACUGUCAUAAAAGACUGAAGAAUAUCUAAACAAUCAUGAAGUGGAGAAGCCUUUUCUAAAGAAGCUGUGAAACCCAGGAAUCCUGAAGAGAGGGGAUUUGACUAUAAUAAGAUUUAAAGAUUUUAUGUAGAAAAAAAACAGUGAAAAUUAAAACACAAAUGAGAUAUAGUGAACUGAACAUUUCACAAAAAUUUUAUAAAAAGAGUUCCUUGAAAUAAAUAAGGAGAAACCUCAUAUAAAAGCAGAGAAAGGCCAAGAAAAUAAUAUUUUUGACACAUAACAUCAGCAAAAAUUCACAAGAUUUGAUGCAUAGACGAGAACCUCUCAAAUACUAUAAAAUCGUCUGAGUGGGUCAGGAGUACUUUAAGGUAACACAGCUGUAUCUACCCUCAUUUAAAUCCUUCAUGUUUCAUUUAAAUAUUUAAAUCACCACUCUGGGUCCUGUGUUUUGAUAUGCACAUUUUUUUUCAUUUUGAUGUCCAGUUUAUCUAUUUCUAUUUUGGUUCCUGUACUAUUUGCACAUUUUAAUUAGUUGUCUGUACUUUUGUUGUUGAAGGGAAGUUCUUUACGUAUUAUGAACACUAGACCCAUAUCAUAUAUACAAUUUGCAAACAUUUCUUGUAUUUUGUGUCUUCUCACGCUCUCAGUAUAAUGCCAUUCAAUACGUAAAAGUCUUAUAUAUUUCAAUGAGUGUAUCUGUAUUUUUCUUGGUGGCUUAUGCUUGCAGGGUCACAUCUAAGAAAUGACUUCCUAACCCAAG
rnacentral:lncRNA from 1 species